CGCUUGGCAGGCGCGGCGGGGAGGAGCGGGGGGCGGAGGCCACGCCCCCCCGGCCCACGGCCCCGCCUCACCUGGGCAGAGCCGGGACCCCAAACCCUGCCCGUGGGCCAGCGCGGACGGCCCCCUCCCUCAUCCUCUGCGUCCGUCCGGGGCGCUGUCCGUCGCUUUAUCUAGCCUGACGCCACCGCAGCCUCGGACCAACUGCUUGGGAGCCUGGGCAGGUCACCGCCUCUCCCUGGGCUUCAGUUUAUCCAGCACCAAGCAAGGAGGGCUGAAUGGAAGCCCCAGGACUCAAGCCCCUGAGGAGCUAGGCGCCCAGGAGGCCUUGAGGAAUUUGGUGACUUCUCUGAAAAUUCAACAGCCAGGAAGAGGGGUGGGCAGAGGAGGAUGCUGGGUGAAGCCUCAAGACCACUUCCUUCAGAGUCUGGCAGCCAACCUGGUUUUUCAUCUGCUUGCUGAACGACUUAUUUCCCCUUCCUGAGCCUCAGCUACUGAUCUAUAAAAAGGGAAUAAGCCUUUCUGCAGUCAGUCACCUUCAGAACAGACAUGCCUAACUGUUCUUUUAAGUGGUUUUGCCACAUAUGUAAAGAGCAUCACACAAUAAAUACACACUCCAUGACUGCAGGAGUUAGGGGAGAGGGAAGGAGGAUGAGGCAAGGCCAAGACACCAGUUGAGACUGAAGGCUCGCUAAAGCUCCCCUCCAUGGGGGCCAUGGGGCAUAGUCCAAGAUAGAGUGGGCAGACAACAAAUCUUUGCCACCAAAGAGACAAAACUUUGCUCCAUGGACCAGAAUUUCCAUGGCAGCCCUCAAGGAGAGGGUAGGGAAAGCCUGGCUGAGGACCCUGUUCCUCAGGGGAGCCUGCUGGUCUUGCUCACUCCUCCCCUUCAAAGAUGGGAAGACCCCAAACAAGAUGCCUCCUGGCUAGGCAGGUCUGAGCAUACACAGGAGCUGGACCAGCUUGUGGUUGCCCCCUGUCCUGGAGUGCUGAGCAGGCCAGUUGCAUCCACACAGGCAACAAGUCUUGAGCACUUACAGUGGGCCCAUCCUGUGCCAAGUACUUUUCCCGUAUUAACCCAUUUAUUCCUGCCCCGAAUUCACAAAUGAGUAAACGGAGGCACUGGCCUUGAAGGACAUGCCCAGAACCUCACAGCAAUGUUGCCCCUGAUUGUCAGGGCUGGGAGGGGGCAGUCUGAGGAGUGGACCAGUUCCUUACCCUGGGGAGUUGGGGCGCCGGGCCAGAGAAGCCCCGCCCCGUGGGCCACCAGGCAGCCAAUGGGCGCUUGGCCCGCAGUGGGGAGAUGUGGCGUCACCGCCUAACUCCUGGGAGUCCAGCCCGGGUCACAUGUGCUAAGCCCACUCACCCGGGGCUGGCAGGGCUGGUAGGGCCGGCCCUGCGGCCAGCUGGGCCUGCUGCAUCUUCCUGGCCUCAAGGCCAGACACCUGGCUGGGACUGCUGCCCGGUGCGCGUCCGCGUCCGGGGCACCCGGGCGGGGCUGGCCUGGGGCGGCCCCUGCCUCCCCCCCACGGCUUCCUGCGGGACUGUGCAGGCACCUCCGGAGGGGGAAGCUCAGCCAAGGGUACCCAGCCCGACCUCAGCUUUGCCAACUGUAAGAUAGGAGUUCGAACGCCCCCUUCCUCCCCUAGGCGACUUAGAGGCAGGGACAUAUCUUCUGUGGGUUCUGAGUCAUUUGGGGUAGCGGCCAGUGCCAACAGGGCCUCCAUUGACCCUCGGUGCCCUGAGCCCAUUGGGGGCGAAGGGGCAGGUAGGUGCUUGGGGGGCUGCCAUUAGGCAGGAGGCCACCGAGACCCCAGCCCAGCCCCACUUUUGGAGCCCCUGCCUGCCCGCAGUUUAGACUUCAUUCCUCCAGUAGCUAAGCUAGACCCUCCCCAGGUGACAGUGGAGGGAAUCAGGCAAGGGGAAGAAACAUAGGCAGGAGAGGGGACAACCCCAUUUCUCCCUCUGUACCAGGGACUGGAGGGCUGUUGGCCUGAUGAUUCUGUGUAAGAUGACUGUAUUCUCAUUCCUGUGUGGCCUCCUCUGCAAGCUGGGCACUCGAGUGACCCCAGCUCUGCACCUCCACACCUGCUCUGCCCAGAAGGCUCAUGGUUGUGGGCACCUUCAGGUCCUCCAGGUCAC